UCGUGCUAGACGGGGAGCCAGCGGUGCCCUGUAACCUGCAAUCCGCUAUAGCAGGGUUUAAUUCCUACCCUAAGUUUUAUUAACCAUUAGAUAAGUUUUUAAAAAGUAGUGUUGAUAGCUAAGUCCUUUGCAAUUAUUUAUUACCUAACUCCGCCAGGUCUGGAAAGAAGCAACGGUAAGUAAUGGGUAAUUGGCAAGAGGGCUGCUUAGCUGGAGCUAACCAUUAAGAACUUACUUUUAGUUAGAAAUUAAAGGUAGGUGCACGA
rnacentral:SRP_RNA from 1 species